UUCCAGACUCCUACGGGAGGCAGCAGUGGGGGAUAUUGCACAAUGGGGGAAACCCUGAUGCAGCGACGCCGCGUGGGCGAAGAAGUAUUUCGGUAUGUAAAGCCCUAUCAGCAGGGAAGAAGAAAUGACGGUACCUGAGUAAGAAGCACCGGCUAAAUACGUGCCAGCAGCCGCGGUAAUACGUAGGGGGCAAGCGUUAUCCGGAUUUACUGGGUGUAAAGGGAGCGUAGACGGCAGUGCAAGUCCGGAGUGACAGCCCGGGGCUCAGCCCUGGGACUGCUCUGGAAACUGUAAAGCUGGAGUGCGGGAGGGGCAGGCGGAAUUCCUGGUGUGGCGGUGA
rnacentral:rRNA from 1 species